AAAUCAGGUAUAGGGAACCGGUGACACUCCAGAUGUUGCUGAACUAACUACAACUCCCAGCAAGCAUGGCUAAUGGUCAGGGAUGGUGAGAGCUGUAGGCCAGCAACAUCUGGCAGCCAGAGUUUCCCCACAUCUGAUUAAGAUGGAAGGAUGUCCUUCCCCUACUUUCCUCACCUAGUCCAAUCAGUGCACAUGGCACAAAGCCUGCCUGGCAAGGGGGUCAGUGUGGAGGAGGUCUCGUGUCACCUAAAGGUUUUUAGGGCCACUCAACGUGAGUGCUGGUUGAAUCCCUUCUGCUUUGCCAAAGGCGGUGGUGGGAGAAGUCUCAAACGAACAAGGAGAGAGAAGGGCUACAUGGCUCUAGAGUAAUAAUGGGGAACCUUUGUCCUCAUAGGUGGUGGUGGGACUCCAACUCCCAUCAGCCCCAGCAAGCAGCACAGCCAAUGGCCAGAGAGGAUGGGAGAGGUAUUCCAGCAACAUCUGGGGGAAAGAUGAGUGAGAUAAUGAAGAAGAACAAACAGUGCUGGCAGGACUGAAACUGUAUCGGCCGCAGGCAGGUGAAGGCUUGCCCGUUGCUGGGGCAGCCGAGUGUCAUGUAUCAUCGGGCGGCUUUGUCUGGCCCCAGCCAUCCCCUGGAACAGCACUGGUUGAGCAAACAGCGGCAACCGCCAAGCCGCUUGACAUUCGUAAGCCAAGACCCAGGAAACAGAUCCUGCAAAGGUGGCUGGGAAACUUCCCACUGCUUGGGGGAAAGGGAACAGAAUCCGUUAUCAAAGGAGAAGGAAGAUAACCUGGUGGAAAAAACAGUCUUUAUGGAGGAAAUUACCAAGAGUGACUGAGUGCAAUUAUAUGCACACUUCCUUGUGAGUUUUAGAUCCAGUGUCAGACUUUUUGCUGUUGUCAACUGGUGAAAGAUCCUGCCCCAACACUAUGUUACACCAGAGGAGAGAGACUUACC